rnacentral:rRNA from 1 species
AUGAACGCUGGCGGCGUGCCUCAUACCUGCCAGUCGAGCGCACGGACGAGAAGCUUGCUUCUCUGAUGUUAGCGGCGGACGGGUGAGUAACACGUGGAUAACCUACCUAUAAGACUGGGAUAACUUCGGGAAACCGGAGCUAAUACCGGAUAAUAUUUUGAACCGCAUGGUUCCAAAGUGAAAGACGGUCUUGCUGUCACUUAUAGAUGGAUCCGCGCUGCAUUAGCUAGUUGGUAAGGUAACGGCUUACCAAGGCAACGAUGCAUAGCCGACCUGAGAGGGUGAUCGGCCACACUGGAACUGAGACACGGUCCAGACUCCUACGGGAGGCAGCAGUAGGGAAUCUUCCGCAAUGGGCGAAAGCCUGACGGAGCAACGCCGCGUGAGUGAUGAAGGUCUUCGGAUCGUAAAACUCUGUUAUUAGGGAAGAACAUAUGUGUAAGUAACUGUGCACAUCUUGACGGUACCUAAUCAGAAAGCCACGGCUAACUACGUG